GAUGAAGAACGUAGCGAAAUGCGAUAACUAAUGUGAAUUGCAGAAUUCAGUGAAUCAUCGAGUCUUUGAACGCACAUUGCGCCCUCUGGUAUUCCGGAGGGCAUGCCUGUCCGAGCGUCAUUGCUGCCCUCCAGCCCGGCUGGUGUGUUGGGCCCCGUCCCCCUUCCCGGGGGGACGGGCCCGAAGGGCAGCGGCGGCACCGCGUCCGGUCCUCGAGCGUAUGGGGCUUUGUCACCCGCUCUUGUAGGCCCGGCCGGCGCCAGCCGACCCCCUCAAUCUAUUUUUCAGGUUGACCUCGGAUCAGGUAGGGAUACCCGCUGAACUUAAGCAUAUCAAUAAGCGGAGGA
rnacentral:misc_RNA from 1 species